rnacentral:rRNA from 1 species
GAUCCUGGCUCAGGAUGAACGCUAGCGGCAGGCCUAACACAUGCAAGUCGAGGGGCAGCACGGUGUAGCAAUACACUGGUGGCGACCGGCGCACGGGUGCGUAACGCGUAUGCAACCUACCCAUAACAGGGGGAUAACACUGAGAAAUUGGUACUAAUACCCCAUAACAUCAGGACCGGCAUCGGUUCUGGUUGAAAACUCCGGUGGUUAUGGAUGGGCAUGCGUUGUAUUAGCUGGUUGGUG